AGCGAACGCUGCGGCAUGCUUAACACAUGGCAAGUCGCACGGGCGGGGGCAACUCCGUCAGUGGCGACGGGUGAGUAACGCGUAGGAAUCUAUCCUUGGAAUGGGGGACAACCGUGGGAAACUACGGCUAAUACCGCAUGAUGCCUGAGGGCCAAAGACGAAAGUCGUUUGAGGAGGAGCCUGCGUCUGAUUAGGUAGUUGGUGGGUAAAGGCCUACCAAGCCUACGAUCAGUAGCUGGUCUGAGAGGAUGAUCAGCCACAUUGGGACUGAGACACGGCCCAAACUCCUACGGGAGGCAGCAGUGGGGAAUAUUGGCAAUGGGCGCAAGCCUGAUCCAGCAAUGCCGCGUGGGUGAGAAGGUCUUCGGAUUGUAAAGCCCUUUUGGCGGGGACGAUGAUGACGGUACCCGCAGAAUAAGCUCCGGCUAACUUCGUG
rnacentral:rRNA from 1 species